UACGGAGGGGGCAAGCGUUGUUCGGAAUCAUUGGGCGUAAAGGGCGCGUAGGCGGCCGUCCAAGUCGGGUGUGAAAUCCCUCGGCUCAACCGAGGAACUGCACUCGAUACUGGUCGGCUAGAGUCCGGGAGGGGAUGGUGGAAUUCCCAGUGUGGCGGUGAAAUGCGUAGAUAUUGGGAAGAACACCGGUGGCGAAGGCGGGUCUCUGGGCAGUAACUGACGCUGAGGAGCGAAAGCGUGGGGAGCGAACAGG
rnacentral:rRNA from 1 species